CCCAGUCAUUGAGGAAUCUGACGUAGCACGAGCACGACCUGCUGCUGUGGGAAACUUAGAGAACGUCCUGGUUCUAGAGGCAACGAACGGCACCUACGACAAGCACACAGCCCUGUAGGUUCUAAAGAGAACAUCAAUGACAACAAGCACACAGCCCUGUAGGUUCUAAAGAGAACCAACAUCAACGACAAGCACACAGCCUGUAGGUUCUAAAGAGAACAUCAAUGACAACAAGCACACAGCCCUGUAGGUUCUAAAGAGAACAUCAAUGACAACAAGCACACAGCCCUGUAGGUUCUAAAGAGAACCAACAUCAACGACAAGCACACAGCCUGUAGGUUCUAAAGAGAACAUCACCUACGACAAGCACACAGCCCUGUAGGUUCUAAAGAGAACAUCAUCAACGACAAGCACACAGCCUGUAGGUUCUAAAGAGAACAUCACCUACGACAAGCACACAGCCCUGUAGGUUCUAAAGAGAACAUCACCAACGACAAGCACACAGCCUGUAGGUUCUAAAGAGAACAUCAUCAACGACAAGCACACAGCCUGUAGGUUCUAAAGAGAACAUCAAUGACAAGCACACAGCCUGUAGGUUCUAAAGAGAACAUCAAUGACAACAAGCACACAGCCCUGUAGGUUCUAAAGAGAACCAACAUCAACGACAAGCACACAGCCUGUAGGUUCUAAAGAGAACAUCAAUGACAACAAGCACACAGCCCUGUAGGUUCUAAAGAGAACAUCAUCAACGACAAGCACACAGCCUGUAGGUUCUAAAGAGAACAUCAAUGACAACAAGCACACAGCCCUGUAGGUUCUAAAGAGAACAUCAAUGACAACAAGCACACAGCCCUGUAGGUUCUAAAGAGAACAUCACCAAUGAAAAACACACAGCCCUGUAGGUUCUAAAGAGAACAUCACCAACGACAAGCACACACCCUGUAGGUUCUAAAGAGAACAUAACCUACGACAAGCACACAGCCCUGUAGGUUCUAAAGAGAACAUCACCUACGACAAGCACACAGCCUGUAGGUUCUAAAGAGAACAUCACCUACGACAAGCACACAGUCCUGUAGGUUCUAAAGAGAACAUCAAUGACAACAAGCACACAGCCCUGUAGGUUCUAAAGAGAACAUCACCAAUGACAAGCACACAGCCCUGUAGGUUCUAAAGAGAACAUCACCAAUGACAAGCACACAGCCCUGUAGGUUCUAAAGAGAACAUCACCUACGACAAGCACACAGCCUGUAGGUUCUAAAGAGAACAUCACCAAUGAAAAACACACAGCCCUGUAGGUUCUAAAGAGAACAUCACCAACGACAAGCACACAGUCCUGUAGGUUCUAAAGAGAACAUCAUCAACGACAAGCACACAGUCCUGUAGGUUCUAAAGAGAACAUCAUCAACGACAAGCACACAGCCUGUAGGUUCUAAAGAGAACAUCACCUACGACAAGCACACAGCCCUGUAGGUUCUAAAGAGAACAUCAUCAACGACAAGCACACAGCCUGUAGGUUCUAAAGAGAACAUCACCAAUGAAAAACACACAGCCCUGUAGGUUCUAAAGAGAACAUCACCAACGACAAGCACACAGUCCUGUAGGUUCUAAAGAGAACAUCAUCAACGACAAGCACACAGCCCUGUAGGUUCUAAAGAGAACAUCAAUGACAACAAGCACACAGCCCUGUAGGUUCUAAAGAGAACAUCACCAAUGACAAGCACACAGCCCUGUAGGUUCUAAAGAGAACAUCACCUACGACAAGCACACAGCCCUGUAGGUUCUAAAGAGAACAUCACCUACGACAAGCACACAGUCCUGUAGGUUCUAAAGAGAACAUCAAUGACAACAAGCACACAGCCCUGUAGGUUCUAAAGAGAACAUCACCAACGACAAGCACACAGCCCUGUAGGUUCUAAAGAGAACAUCACCAAUGACAAGCACACAGCCUGUAGGUUCUAAAGAGAACAUCACCUACGACAAGCACACAGCCCUGUAGGUUCUAAAGAGAACAUCACCUAUGACAAGCACACAGUCCUGUAGGUUCUAAAGAGAACAUCAAUGACAACAAGCACACAGCCUGUAGGUUCUAAAGAGAACAUCACCAAUGACAAGCACACAGCCCUGUAGGUUCUAAAGAGAACAUCACCUACGACAAGCACACAGCCUGUAGGUUCUAAAGAGAACAUCAAUGACAACAAGCACACAGCCCUGUAGGUUCUAAAGAGAACAUCACCUACGACAAGCACACAGCCUGUAGGUUCUAAAGAGAACAUCACCUACGACAAGCACACAGUCCUGUAGGUUCUAAAGAGAACAUCACCAACGACAAGCACACAGCCUGUAGGUUCUAAAGAGAACAUCACCUACGACAAGCACACAGUCCUGUAGGUUCUAAAGAGAACAUCAUCAACGACAAGCACACAGCCUGUAGGUUCUAAAGAGAACAUCACCUACGACAAGCACACAGUCCUGUAGGUUCUAAAGAGAACAUCAAUGACAACAAGCACACAGCCCUGUAGGUUCUAAAGAGAACAUCACCAAUGACAAGCACACAGCCCUGUAUGUUCUAAAGAGAACAUCACCAAUGACAAGCACACAGCCCUGUAGGUUCUAAAGAGAACAUCACCAAUGACAAGCACACAGCCCUGUAGGUUCUAAAGAGAACAUCACCAAUGACAAGCACACAGCCCUGUAGGUUCUAAAGAGAACAUCACCUACGACAAGCACACAGCCUGUAGGUUCUAAAGAGAACAUCACCAAUGAAAAACACACAGCCCUGUAGGUUCUAAAGAGAACAUCACCAACGACAAGCACACAGUCCUGUAGGUUCUAAAGAGAACAUCAUCAACGACAAGCACACAGCCCUGUAGGUUCUAAAGAGAACAUCAAUGACAACAAGCACACAGCCCUGUAGGUUCUAAAGAGAACAUCACCAAUGACAAGCACACAGCCCUGUAGGUUCUAAAGAGAACAUCACCAAUGACAAGCACACAGCCCUGUAGGUUCUAAAGAGAACAUCACCUACGACAAGCACACAGCCUGUAGGUUCUAAAGAGAACAUCACCAAUGAAAAACACACAGCCCUGUAGGUUCUAAAGAGAACAUCACCAACGACAAGCACACAGUCCUGUAGGUUCUAAAGAGAACAUCAUCAACGACAAGCACACAGCCUGUAGGUUCUAAAGAGAACAUCACCUACGACAAGCACACAGCCUGUAGGUUCUAAAGAGAACAUCACCUACGACAAGCACACAGUCCUGUAGGUUCUAAAGAGAACAUCAAUGACAACAAGCACACAGCCUGUAGGUUCUAAAGAGAACAUCACCUACGACAAGCACACAGCCCUGUAGGUUCUAAAGAGAACAUCACCUACGACAAGCACACAGCCUGUAGGUUCUAAAGAGAACAUCACCUACGACAAGCACACAGUCCUGUAGGUUCUAAAGAGAACAUCAAUGACAACAAGCACACAGCCCUGUAGGUUCUAAAGAGAACAUCACCAAUGACAAGCACACAGCCCUGUAGGUUCUAAAGAGAACAUCACCAAUGACAAGCACACAGCCCUGUAGGUUCUAAAGAGAACAUCACCUACGACAAGCACACAGCCCUGUAGGUUCUAAAGAGAACAUCACCUACGACAAGCACACAGUCCUGUAGGUUCUAAAGAGAACAUCAAUGACAACAAGCACACAGCCUGUAGGUUCUAAAGAGAACAUCACCAACGACAAGCACACAGUCCUGUAGGUUCUAAAGAGAACAUCAUCAACGACAAGCACACAGCCUGUAGGUUCUAAAGAGAACAUCACCUACGACAAGCACACAGCCUGUAGGUUCUAAAGAGAACAUCACCUACGACAAGCACACAGUCCUGUAGGUUCUAAAGAGAACAUCACCAACGACAAGCACACAGCCUGUAGGUUCUAAAGAGAACAUCACCUACGACAAGCACACAGUCCUGUAGGUUCUAAAGAGAACAUCAAUGACAACAAGCACACAGCCCUGUAGGUUCUAAAGAGAACAUCACCUACGACAAGCACACAGCCCUGUAGGUUCUAAAGAGAACAUCACCAACGACAAGCACACAGCCCUGUAGGUUCUAAAGAGAACAUCAAUGACAACAAGCACACAGCCCUGUAGGUUCUAAAGAGAACAUCACCUACGACAAGCACACAGCCUGUAGGUUCUAAAGAGAACAUCAAUGACAACAAGCACACAGCCCUGUAGGUUCUAAAGAGAACAUCACCUACGACAAGCACACAGCCUGUAGGUUCUAAAGAGAACAUCAAUGACAACAAGCACACAGCCCUGUAGGUUCUAAAGAGAACCAACAUCAACGACAAGCACACAGCCUGUAGGUUCUAAAGAGAACAUCAAUGACAACAAGCACACAGCCCUGUAGGUUCAUUAAUCUUAUAACAAUAACCAUAAUAACAAUAAUUAAUACAUUAAUAAUAAUUAUGAAUAUUAAUAUCAUAAUAAUAAUACGAAGGUUGGCCAAAAUACAACAUGAGAGGGUUAGGUUAGUCGGUUCCCAAAAUAUAUCUUAUUAUAUAUAUAUAACAUUUGAGAAUAAAAUUAACAUAAAACUAACCUUUUUACUGGUUGUUUCUUUUAAAAAUAAAAUUACAGAUAAUUUACAGAUUUUUAUUAAUUACAGAAAACUAGUAAAAUAACAGAAAAAUACUUCAUAUAUAUGUAAUAGUUAUUUAUUUUGAUAAUUUUCUGUAGUUACCACAAAUCUGUAAAUCAACAAUAUUUUUUAAUUUAUUUCAUAUUUUAAAACAAGAUUUCUUUAGUCUUAAGUGACUUUAUAAAUGGACUGUGUUACUUGUGUACA